rnacentral:lncRNA from 1 species
AAACUCCAGAUUAAGUCAAAAGACUGAUUCAGAUUCAGCCAGAGGAUCAGAAGAGAAAUAAACAACGCAGUGUAUUUCAGCAUUUUUGUGGUGUUCUCGGAGCGCAAAUUUUCGGUCUGUCUUUGGUAUUCAAUCACAGCUCACCCUGUUUGUCUGAUAAGCUGUUCGCUUUCAUUCUGCUCGGGUUAGCUGAUGACUGAAUAGGGGCAGCUGUAACACCCCAAAAUUUGCCCUCCUGAUUCAUGCAUUCAUUUUUAGGUCAUUUAACAUUUCAUAUUGCAUUUCAUCAUGUCAAUCAGAAUCAGAUCCAAGAAACUUUAUUUAAAAAAUAAAAAAA